rnacentral:rRNA from 1 species
UACAGAGGUCCCAAGCGUUGUUCGGAUUCAUUGGGCGUAAAGGGUGCGUAGGUGGCGCCGUAAGUCGGGUGUGAAAUUUCGGAGCUUAACUCCGAAACUGCAUUCGAUACUGCGGUGCUUGAGGACUGGAGAGGAGACUGGAAUUCAUGGUGUAGCAGUGAAAUGCGUAGAGAUCAUGAGGAAGACCAGUGGCGAAGGCGGGUCUCUGGACAGUUCCUGACACUGAGGCACGAAGGCCAGGGGAGCAAACCGG